rnacentral:misc_RNA from 1 species
GUGGAUGAUCUACCCACUCUCUCAAAUCUGCCAUAAAACAGGAAGCUCGAGCUAACAUGUGAACUACUCCAUUUGCAAAUCGAUGAACAUGCUAAAAAGAAAGAUGAGAAACGUCAUCAGCAACAUGAAGACAAUCUUGAAAAAGUACAUAAAAAAUAAGAAGUUGAGCCUCUGAAUGUUGAAGUGCAGAAAUGGCAAAUAAGGCAUCAGAUUCUAAUAUGUUCUGCGGCCAUUCCUUCUACUUGAUCCAACUAAGUGCCUCACAGAUACUCAUAUUUCCGCAACAGGAGCAAAACUUCUAGGGAUACGAAGUGAACGAGUUGCAAUCAUA